AUUACAGGUUUUAUAUGAUGGGCUUUGUCCCAUAUGUGUGACAGAGAUCCGGUUUCUCCAGUAUCUGCAGAGGAAACAACCUGGCAAAGUGGAUUUUAUCGAUAUCUCUCUCCCAGGAUAUGAUGGAGCAAAGCACAAUGACAUCAGCUACGAGAUGGCCAUGGAGGAAAUGCAUGUUAUAGAUGAGAAAAAUACGGUUCACCGUGGCGUUCCCGCAUUCUAUGUUAUGUACUCUGCAGUGGGACUCGGAUGGUUGGGGCGCCUCCUCAUGUGGCCUCCUGUAAGACCUUUAAUGGAUAAAUUUUAUGACAUAUUUGCCAGAAAUCGCCUAAAGUGGACAGGGCGUGGAGGUGAAUGCACCACUGGACGCUGUGAAAAGAAAACAAACUGAAAUCAAAAAUUUCAGUAGGUACUCCACUGUGGGCUUUAUAUGCACUUU